rnacentral:rRNA from 1 species
AGCGGAGGAAAAGAAACCAACAGGGAUUGCCCCAGUAACGGCGAGUGAAGCGGCAACAGCUCAAAUUUGAAAUCUGGCCCCCCGGCCCGAGUUGUAAUUUGCAGAGGAUGCUUUUGGUGAGGCACCUACCGAGUCCCCUGGAAUGGGGCGCCAUAGAGGGUGAGAGCCCCGUAUGGUAGGACGCCGAACCUCUGUAAAGCUCCUUCGCCGAGUCGAGUAGUUUGGGAAUGCUGCUCUAAAUGGGAGGUAAAUUUUUUCUAAAGCUAAAUACCGGCCAGAGACCGAUAGCGCACAAGUAGAGUGAUCGAAAGAUGAAAAGCACUUUGAAAAGAGGGUUAAAAAGUACGUGAAAUUGUUGAAAGGGAAGCGCUUGUGACCAGACUUGCGCCGGGCGGAUCAUCCAGCGUUCUCGCUGGUGCACUCCGCCCGGUUCAGGCCAGCAUCGGUUUUCGCCGGGGGACAAAGGCUUCGGGAACGUGGCUCCUUUCGGGGAGUGUUAUAGCCCGUUGCGUAAUACCCCGGCGGGGACCGACGACCGCGCUUCGGCAAGGAUGCUGGCGUAAUGGUCAUCAGCGACCCGUCUUGAAACACGGACCGAGGAGUCAAGCAUUAGUGCGAGUGUUUGGGUGUAAAACCCGCACGCGUAAUGAAAGUGAACGUAGGUGAGAGCUUCGGCGCAUCAUCGACCGAUCCUGAUGUUUUCGGAAGGAUUUGAGUAGGAGCAUUAACGCUUGGACCCGAAAGAUGGUGAACUAUACUUGAAUAGGGUGAAGCCAGAGGAAACUCUGGUGGAGGCUCGCAGCGGUUCUGACGUGCAAAUCGAUCGUCAAAUUUGAGUAUAGGGGCGAAAGACUAAUCGAACCAUCUAGUAGCUGGUUUCAGCCGAA